CCUACGGGGUGCACCAGUGGGGAAUAUUGCACAAUGGGCGCAAGCCUGAUGCAGCCAUGCCGCGUGUAUGAAGAAGGCCUUCGGGUUGUAAAGUACUUUCAGCGAGGAGGAAGGCGUUAAGGUUAAUAACCUUAGCGAUUGACGUUACUCGCAGAAGAAGCACCGGCUAACUCCGUGCCAGCAGCCGCGGUAAUACGGAGGGUGCAAGCGUUAAUCGGAAUUACUGGGCGUAAAGCGCACGCAGGCGGUCUGUCAAGUCGGAUGUGAAAUCCCCGGGCUCAACCUGGGAACUGCAUUCGAAACUGGCAGGCUAGAGUCUUGUAGAGGGGGGUAGAAUUCCAGGUGUAGCGGUGAAAUGCGUAGAGAUCUGGAGGAAUACCGGUGGCGAAGGCGGCCCCCUGGACAAAGACUGACGCUCAGGUGCGAAAGCGUGGGGAGCAAACAGGAUUAG
rnacentral:rRNA from 1 species